rnacentral:rRNA from 1 species
AGUGAACGCUGGCGGUAGGCCUAACACAUGCAAGUCGAACGAGUGGCGGACGGGUGAGGAAUACAUGGGAAUCUACCCUGUCGAGGGGGAUAACGUAGGGAAACUGAAGCUAAUACCGCAUACGAUUGGAUGAGCCGAUGUCGGAUUAGCUAGUUGGGGGGGUAACGGCCCACCAAGGCGACGAUCCGAAGCUGGUCUGAGAGGAUGACCGGCCACACUGGAACUGAGACACGGUCCAGACUCCUACGGGAGGCAGCAGUGGGGAAUAUUGGACAAUGGGCGCAAGCCUGAUCCAGCCAUACCGCGUGUGUGAAGAAGGCCUUCGGGUUGUAAAGCCCUUUUGUUGGGAAAGCGGUACCCACAGAAUAAGCACCGGCUAACUUCGUGCCAGCAGCCGCGGUAAUAC